AUGGACGCACGUGCCGGCACCCCGCUCACCCCAUCCUAUAGCCGCGACCCCUCCACCGCUGCCGCCUCCGCCGCCGCUGCAAACCCUAGCGUGGGGGGCGUUGGCCUCGCCUCCGCCGGAGCUCCUCCGACCAUUGGUCUCGCGCGCGGACUCUUCAUGCCACCGCGGAUGACCUUGGCGGCGGGUGGUGUCGCGCUGGCGCCGGCCCGAGCCGCCGGCCCCUCCUCGAAGCUCCCCAAUGCGGCACGGCCAAAGAAGGGCAAGACAUCGGCGAAGAAGAACAAGGCGGCGGACGGCUCCGGCACCUCGAAGGCGAGGAGGAAGAAGCUUGCAGGGCGUGCAACGGGCGCGGCGGCUACCGAAGCGCCGGCGAGCUCACUCGUUGAGCUGGCGGCCGACGCGCACAACAUGUUCGACGAAAUGCCCCCAAGUCUCAAUGAUGAUGCAUACAUGUCAACUAUGGGUGUUGGCUCCAACAAUUCGCAUUGGUCUCAAACCAAAGACAUGCAUUUCGAAGACCAUGAGUUCGAGGUGGACGAGGAGGGUGAGGGCAUUGUCGACGCGCCGAAAGGAAGAGCGGGAAAUUACACCAACGUCGAUGACAUCUUACUAUGCAAUACUUGGUUGCAAGUGUCGAGGGAUCCAUCCAUUGGAGGUGAUCAAAGUAGAGAGGCUUAUUGGGGGCGGAUGAAAGAACAUUUUCAUGUUCACAACGUGAGUGGAAUUGACCGCUCUGAGAGAUCACUUCGGUCCCGAUGGUCGACAAUCAACUCGGAUUGUCAAAGGUGGGCGGCCUGUCAAAAGGCGGUUGACAAGUUGAACCCAAGUGGCACAAAUGAGGACGAUAGAUACAACAUUGCACAAAACUUGUUCAAAGAAGAGGAGAGGAAAACCAAGAAGGGGAAGAUCAAUAAAGAAAGGGUCUUUACCUUGCCUCAUUGCUAUAAUGUGUUGAAGGAUGAUGAGAAAUGGAAGAAGCGUGAAGAUUUGGAUGAUUUGCAUUUGAGCAACAAACGCAAGCGAACAAUUGAGUUGGACGAUGAUGAUGAGCAGGAGGAUGAUGCAUCAAGUGAUGAUGGCAAGAGAAGCCCCACACCCAACUCGGUUUCAUACUCUAAGCCAAAACGACUGGAUGGGUGCAAGAAAGACAAAACAAAAAAGAAGAAGAGGAAAGGAGAUGAUGAGCUCAAAAAUGCUAUGAAAGCUAUUGUGAAGGCAAGAAAAGAAGCCAACGAGGUGAGGAAAAUGGCAAGGACCCCAGAUGCCGCAGCCGAGGAGAGGAGGUUGGCGUCUGAGGAGAGGAGGGUGGAGGCCAAGGAGAGGAAGGUGAGCAAUGAUGAGCGAACAAGAUUGUUGGAAUGGGAGAAGCACUUAGCCAUGAUUCGUGCAAUGGGUGGCGGUGGCCUUGGCGCUAUGGGUGGUGGUGGCCUCGGCGCCAUGGGUGGCGGUGGCCUUGGCGCCAUGGGUGGCAUGGGUGGCUUCGGAGGUACCGUGGGCGAUUUAGGUGCCAUGGGAAGCAUGGGUGGCUUUGGAGCACCCCCCGAUGCUAUGGCCGCCAUGGGAGGCAUGAGUUUUACUUCUCUCAUGGGAGGCACGGGUGCACCUCCGGCCGCCAUGGGCGAAAUGUCUUUUGAUGUGCCUCCUCACACACAUUCCCAUGAAGAUGCCGUUGAAGAUCUUGCCAACACCGCCGGAGCUUCACGUGAUGCGGUGCGCGGUGAGGAGAGGGAGGAAGAUUCAUCUUCGGAGGCGGAAGAAUCGUCUUCGGAAGAUGAGGAUGAAGACAAGGACGAGGAUUGA
rnacentral:rRNA from 1 species